AUAAUGGGUCAGCGACUUAUAUUCUGUAGCAAGGUUAACCGAAUAGGGGAGCCGAAGGGAAACCGAGUCUUAACUGGGCGUUAAGUUGCAGGGUAUAGACCCGAAACCCGGUGAUCUAGCCAUGGGCAGGUUGAAGGUUGGGUAACACUAACUGGAGGACCGAACCGACUAAUGUUGAAAAAUUAGCGGAUGACUUGUGGCUGGGGGUGAAAGGCCAAUCAAACCGGGAGAUAGCUGGUUCUCCCCGAAAGCUAUUUAGGUAGCGCCUCGUGAAUUCAUCUCCGGGGGUAGAGCACUGUUUCGGCAAGGGGGUCAUCCCGACUUACCAACCCGAUGCAAACUGCGAAUACCGGAGAAUGUUAUCACGGGAGACACACGGCGGGUGCUAACGUCCGUCGUGAAGAGGGAAACAACCCAGACCGCCAGCUAAGGUCCCAAAGUCAUGGUUAAGUGGGAAACGAUGUGGGAAGGCCCAGACAGCCAGGAUGUUGGCUUAGAAGCAGCCAUCAUUUAAAGAAAGCGUAAUAGCUCACUGGUCGAGUCGGCCUGCGCGGAAGAUGUAACGGGGCUAAACCAUGCACCGAAGCUGCGGCAGCGACGCUGAUGCGUUGUUGGGUAGGGGAGCGUUCUGUAAGCCUGCGAAGGUG
rnacentral:rRNA from 1 species